rnacentral:lncRNA from 1 species
AGGUGAGGUGCCGAGCCGCGAGACCCUGCAGAGCGCUUCCUUUGUUCCGGAGCGAGUAGGACGCGCUACCUCCUGGAGGAAAGAAGCGACUGCGUUUCGCAGUGCUGACUUUUUUUUACAGUGUGAGCUAACGUGUAUGCUCUGAAAAACACCCCGUUUUCCAGUAUGUGAAUGAGUAUAUUUGUACGGGGCCAGUACGGCAGACAUAGCGGGUCGUUGGACCGAGCCCACCGAGAGUGGAUCUGUGGGAAGCCACUGUGGCACCUUGCUGAGUCUGUUCACCCGUGCAGCUAGCUGGUGGCAGCCCUGGCAGAUCCCGGCACACAGUCAGGCUCCACGCCUUACCCGAGCCAGUUGUGCCUCUAGAUUACGCCUCGCUUAAAGUCCAGCGACCAAGAUAGAAAAACAGCCCCACGAUGCAACCAUUUUGGAAAACCGCUGCAGUUUCUGCCAAAGCUAAAUGUACGCUUACCUUGUGACCCCAGAAAUUUCACUUCAAGAGGAAUGAGUGCAUACGUCCACCAAAGGCAUGUGCAAGAAUGUCCAUAGCACGUUUAUUCGUAGUAGUAAAAAACUGGUAACCUAAAUGUCCAUCAGCAGUUGAGUGGCUAAAUUGUGGUGUAUCAUACAGUGGAUUUCUACAGAGAAAUAGGAAGUUACGGAUAAACGCAACAGCCUGAACGAAUAGCAGCUACUGUUAACUUAGGCACAAAGAAGAGGACGCUGUAUGAUUCCAUUUUGAUGAGGUUCAAAAUAUAACUGCACAGCAAGUUGUUCUCCAGUAUGAAUCAGGAAUCGUACCAGCCUGGGGAACAUGGCGAGAUCCCAUCUUUGCGCGUCGGGGUGCGUUCCUGUGACCGCCUUCCUGUGAUCGUUCCUGUGAUGGGUACUUGGGAGACUGGGGUGGGAGGAUCACUUGAGCCCAGGAGUUGGAGGGCGCAGUGAGCCAAGAUCGUGCCAGUGCACUUAAGUCUUGGAAGCAGAGUAAGACCCUGUCUCAAAGAAGUCUUACUUUUGACUCCAUAAUCCCCUUCCAAAAAUCUAUUCUAAGGAUAGCCUCAGAGAUGUGAGUAAGAUUUGUGUACUAAUCUUUGAGGUAUUAAUGAUAGCAAAAAAAAAAGGAAACAGUAGCAGACAGUGAUUAAAUAAUGGCACAUCCAUACGUAGACUAUCAUGCAGACAUUACACAGUAUCUAAAGUUUUUAUGAUAACAUCAGAAAUGUUUAUAAACUUCUAUAUUUUUUCUUUUUUUAGAGACAAGGUCUCUCACCCAGGGUGAUCAUAACUCACUGCAGCCUCAACCUCCCGGGCUCAAGUGAUCCUCUCACCUCAGCCUCCCUAGUAGCUCAGACUAAUGACCUGUACCAGGACACCCAUACCCAGCUAAUUUUAGUAGAGACUGUCAGGCCUCAGAGCCCAAGCUAAGCCAUCAUAUCCCCAGUGACUUGCACGUAUACAUCCAGAUGGCCUGAAGCAACUGAAGAUCCACAAAAGUGAAAAUAGCCUUAACUGAUGACAUUCCACCAUUGUAAUUUGUUUCUGCCCCACCCUAACUGAUCAAUGUACUUUGUAAUUUCCCCGACCCUUAAGAAGGUUCUUUAUAAUUCUCCCACCCUUGAGAAUGUACUUUGUGAGAUCCACCCCCUGCCCACAAAACAUUGCUCCAAACUCCAAUGCCUAUCCCAAAACCUGUAAGAACUAAUGAUAAUCCCACCACCCUUUGCUGACUCUCUUUUCGGACUCAGCCCACCUGCACCCAGGUGAAAUAAACAGCCUUGUUGCUCACACAAAGCCUGUUUGGUGGUCUCUUCACACGGACACGUGAGACAGAGACAAGAUCUGAUUAUGUUGCCCAGGGCGGUCUCAAACUCCUGGGUUCAAGCAAUCCUCCUGCCUCAGCCUCCCAAAGUGCUGGGAUUACAGGCCAUGCGCCACCACGCCCAGCCCCUAUAAUCUUAUUUUGAUAUGUGUCUAGAAAUAUGUAAGGAGGCCAGACAAUUCCAGUUCUGUGUGAUGAGCUUAGGUUAGGAUGGAAGGAAGCCAUGGACACCCUGAGUGCAAGGCAGGAAAGCCAGGAUAGAAGGCAGGAUUCUCAAGGGCUGAAGGUAGGGAAUGGGGUCAGGAAGGUAACGCUAAGAAGUCCGCUCAUCAAUUGGGUUUAGAAGUUAGGCAGAAAAGACAAGCAAGUGGUCAGUUCCUAGAAAUUAUACUGGGAGUGGUAGAGGAGGCAUUCAGGCAGUGUCCUGAU